GUGCAUAUUUCAGCUUCUUGGAGCCACAUGUACGUAUACUAAAAUUGGGCAGUCUAGAGAAGAUUAACAGGCCUCUGCGCAAGAAUGAGAUGCAAAUUUGUGAAGCAUUACAAUAGCAU
rnacentral:snRNA from 1 species